CCUACGGGUGACAGCAGUAGGGAAUCUUCCACAAUGGGCGAAAGCCUGAUGCAGCAACGCCGCGUGGGUGAAGAAGGUCUUAGGAUCGUAAAACCCUGUUGUUAGAGAAGAAAAUGCGGGUGAGUAACUGUUCACGAUUCGACGGUAUCUAACCAGAAAGCCCCGGCUAACUACGUGCCAGCAGACGCGGUAAUACGGAGGUGGAAAGCGUUAUCCGGGUUUAUUGGGCGUAAAGGAAACGCAGGCGGUCUUUUAAGUUAGAUGUGAAAGCCUGCGGCUUAACCGGAGAAGUGCAUUGGAAACUGGGAGACUUGAGUGCAGAAGAGGAGGGUGGAACUCUAGGUGUAGCGGUGAAAUGCGUAGAUAUAUGGAAGAACACCAGUGGCGAAGGCGGCUCUCUGGACUGUAACUGACGCUGAGGUUCGAAAGCGUGGGGAGCAAACAGGAUUAGAUACCCUUGUAGUC
rnacentral:rRNA from 1 species